AAAUCCCCCUUAGGGAGGAAAAGAAACCAACAGGGAUUACCUCAGUAACGGCGAGUGAAGCGGUAACAGCUCAAAUUUGAAAGCUAGCUCCUUUAGGGUUCGCAUUGUAAUUUGUAGAAGAUGCUUCGGGUGUGGCCCCGGUCUAAGUUCCUUGGAACAGGACGUCAUAGAGGGUGAGAAUCCCGUAUGUGACUGGGUGCUUUCGCUCAUGUGAAGCUCUUUCGACGAGUCGAGUUGUUUGGGAAUGCAGCUCAAAAUGGGUGGUAAAUUUCAUCUAAAGCUAAAUAUUGGCCAGAGACCGAUAGCGCACAAGUAGAGUGAUCGAAAGAUGAAAAGCACUUUGGAAAGAGAGUUAAACAGUACGUGAAAUUGUUGAAAGGGAAGCGCUUGCAACCAGACUUGCGCGCUGAUGAUCAUCCGGGCUUCUGCCCGGUGCACUCGUCUGCGCUCAGGCCAGCAUCGGUUUCGGUGGUGGGAUAAAGGCCUUGGGAAUGUAGCUCCUCUCGGGGAGUGUUAUAGCCCUCGGUGCAAUGCCGCCUACCGGGACCGAGGACCGCGCUCGGCUAGGAGCUGCG
rnacentral:rRNA from 1 species